GGGUUAAGACACCGCCUUUUCACGGCGGUAACACGGGUUCGAAUCCCGUACGGACUA
rnacentral:tRNA from 1 species